AUUGAACGCUGGCGGAAUGCUUUACACAUGCAAGUCGAACGGCAGCACGGACUUCGGUCUGGUGGCGAGUGGCGAACGGGUGAGUAAUGCAUCGGAACGUGCCCAAUCGUGGGGGAUAACGUAGCGAAAGUUACGCUAAUACCGCAUACGAUCUAAGGAUGAAAGCGGGGGAUCGCAAGACCUCGCGCGAAUGGAGCGGCCGAUGUUAGAUGAGGUAGUUGGUGGGGUAAAGGCUCACCAAGCCGACGAUCUAUAGCUGGUCUGAGAGGAUGAGCAGCCACACCGGGACUGAGACACGGCCCAGACUCCUACGGGAGGCAGCAGUGGGGAAUUUUGGACAAUGUGCGCAAGCCUGAUCCAGCCAUUCCGCGUGCAGGAUGAAGGCCCUCGGGUUGUAAACUGCUUUUGUACAGAACGAAAAGCUCUGGGUUAAUACCCUGGGGUCAUGACGGUACUGUAAGAAUAAGCACCGGCUAACUACGUGCCAGCCGCCGCAGUAA
rnacentral:rRNA from 1 species